rnacentral:rRNA from 1 species
GACGAACGCUGGCGGCGUGCUUAACACAUGCAAGUCGAACGGAAAGGCCCUGCUUUUGUGGGGUGCUCGAGUGGCGAACGGGUGAGUAACACGUGAGUAACCUGCCCUUGACUUUGGGAUAACUUCAGGAAACUGGGGCUAAUACCGGAUAGGAGCUCCUGCUGCAUGGUGGGGGUUGGAAAGUUUCGGCGGUUGGGGAUGGACUCGCGGCUUAUCAGCUUGUUGGUGGGGUAGUGGCUUACCAAGGCUUUGACGGGUAGCCGGCCUGAGAGGGUGACCGGCCACAUGGGGCCUGCGGUACGGCCCAGACUCCUACGGGAGGCAGCAGUGGGGAAUAUUGCACAAUGGGCGGAAGCCUGAUGCAGCAACGCCGCGUGCGGGAUGACGGCCUUCGGGUUGUAAACCGCUUUCGCCUGUGACGAAGCGUGAGUGACGGUAAUGGGUAAAGAAGCACCGGCUAACUACGUG